rnacentral:rRNA from 1 species
GUGCAUUGUGAUUUAUCACGACUUGUGCGCUUCUUUUGGCGUGUGAGGUAACUCAAGACUCUUGGUCUCAGAUCAGGCAAGACCACCCGCUGAACUUAAGCAUAUUAAUAAGCGGAGGAAAAGAAACUAACAAGGAUUCCCCUAGUAACGGCGAGUGAAGCGGGUACAGCUCAAAUUUGAAAUCUCCCUCGGGCGAAUUGUAGUUUAGAGAAGCAUUUUCAGGGGCAGCUCGGGUCAAAGUCCUUUGGAACGAGGCAGCAUAGAGGGUGAGACUCCCGUUUGAUCCGAUGCCUGCUCUGUUGUGAUAUGCUUUCGAAGAGUCGGGUUGUUUGGGAUUGCAGCCCAAAAUGGGUGGUAAAUACCAUCUAAAGCUAAAUAUUGGCGAGAGACCGAUAGCGAACAAGUACCGUGAGGGAAGGAUGAAAAGAACUUUGAAAAGAGAGUUAAACAGUACGUGAAAUUGCCAAAAGGGAAACGCUUGGAACCAGUGUGGCAACCAGUAAUCAGCCGUUCAUACGAGCGGUGCACUUGCUGGAAGCCGGUCAACAUCAGUUUGUCUUGGAGUAAAAGCCUCCUCUUAUUCUUCGGAAUACGUGGUUGUCAUGCUCUGGGAUGGACUGAGGACUGCUUUUACAGGAUGUUGACGAAAUGGUUUC